rnacentral:rRNA from 1 species
GACAGAGGGUGCAAACGUUGUUCGGAAUUACUGGGCGUAAAGCGCGUGUAGGCGGUCUUGUAAGUCGGAUGUGAAAGCCCUGGGCUCAACCCAGGAAGUGCACUCGAAACUGCGAGGCUAGAGUAUCGGAGAGGUUGGUGGAAUUCCCGGUGUAGUGGUGGAAUGCGUAGAGAUCGGGAGGAACACCAGUGGCGAAGGCGUCUCACUGGCCCGAUACUGACGCUGAGGCACGAAAGCGUGGGGAGCAAACAGG